rnacentral:rRNA from 2 species
AAGUCGAACGCGAAAAGGGGGCAACCCCUAGUAGAGUGGCGAACGGGUGAGUAAUACAUCGGAACAUGUCCUGUAGCGGGGGAUAACCUCGAGAAAUCGAGGCUAAUACCGCAUACGUCCUAAGGGAGAAAGCGGGGGAUCGCAAGACCUCGCACUAUAGGAGUGGCCGAUGUCGGAUUAGCUAGUUGGCGGGGUAAUAGCCCACCAAGGCGACGAUCCGUAGCUGGUCUGAGAGGAUGAUCAGCCACACUGGGACUGAGACACGGCCCAGACUCC